rnacentral:rRNA from 1 species
GGAGUACGGUCGCAAGAUUAAACUCAAAGGAAUUGACGGGGACCCGCACAAGCGGUGGAUGAUGUGGAUUAAUUCGAUGCAACGCGAAAAACCUUACCUACCCUUGACAUGUUCGGAAUUCUGCAGAGAUGCGGAAGUGCUCGAAAGAGAACCGGAACACAGGUGCUGCAUGGCUGUCGUCAGCUCGUGUCGUGAGAUGUUGGGUUAAGUCCCGCAACGAGCGCAACCCUUAUCAUUAGUUGCUACGCAAGGGCACUCUAAUGAGACUGCCGGUGACAAACCGGAGGAAGGUGGGGAUGACGUCAAGUCCUCAUGGCCCUUAUGGGUAGGGCUUCACACGUCAUACAAUGGUCGGUACAGAGGGCUGCCAACCCGCAAGGGGGAGCCAAUCCUUUAAAACCGAUCGUAGUCCGGAUUGAGGUCUGCAACUCGACCUCAUGAAGUCGGAAUCGCUAGUAAUCGCGGAUCAGCAUGUCGCGGUGAAUACGUUCCCGGGUCUUGUACACACCGCCCGUCACACCAUGGGAGCGGGUUUUACCAGAAGUAGCUAGCCUAACCGCAAGGGGGGCGGUUACCACGGUAGGAUUCGUGACUGGGGUG